rnacentral:rRNA from 1 species
GACGAACGCUGGCGGCGUGCUUAACACAUGCAAGUCGAACGGAAAGGCCCUGCUUGCAGGGUACUCGAGUGGCGAACGGGCGAGUAACACGUGGGUGAUCUGCCCUGCACUUCGGGAUAAGCCUGGGAAACUGGGUCUAAUACCGGAUAGGAGCCAUUUUUAGUGUGAUGGUUGGAAAGUUUUUUCGGUGUAGGAUGAGCUCGCGGCCUAUCAGCUUGUUGGUGGGGUAAUGGCCUACCAAGGCGGCGACGGGUAGCCGGCCUGAGAGGGUGGACGGCCACAUUGGGACUGAGAUACGGCCCAGACUCCUACGGGAGGCAGCAGUGGGGAAUAUUGCACAAUGGGCGCAAGCCUGAUGCAGCGACGCCGCGUGGGGGAUGACGGCCUUCGGGUUGUAAACUCCUUUCGCUAGGGACGAAGCUUUUUGUGACGGUACCUAGAUAAGAAGCACCGGCUAACUACGU